rnacentral:rRNA from 1 species
UACGUAGGGACCAAGCGUUGUUCGGAAUUACUGGGCGUAAAGGGUUCGUAGGUGGCCACUUAAGUCAGACGUGAAAUCCCUCAGCUUAACUGGGGAACUGCGUCUGAUACUGAGUGGCUUGAGUGCAGGAGAGGAAUGCGGAAUUCCAGGUGUAGCGGUGAAAUGCGUAGAUAUCUGGAGGAACACCGGUGGCGAAGGCGGCAUUCUGGACUGUAACUGACACUGAGGAACGAAAGCCAGGGGAGCAAACGGG